rnacentral:rRNA from 1 species
AGAGUUUGAUCCUGGCUCAGGACGAACGCUGGCGGCAUGCCUAACACAUGCAAGUCGAACGGAGAGCAUUCGCUGAAGUUUUCGGAUGGACGUGGAUGUUUCUUAGUGGCGGACGGGCGAGUAACGCGUGAGCAACCUGCCCCUCAGUGGGGAACAACAGUUGGAAACGACUGCUAAUACCGCAUAACGUAUAGUUGCCGCAUGGCGACGAUACCAAAGGAUUUAUUCGCUGAGGGAUGGGCUCGCGUCCGAUUAGAUAGUUGGUGAGGUAACGGCCCACCAAGUCGACGAUCGGUAGCCGAACUGAGAGGUUGAUCGGCCGCAUUGGGACUGAGACACGGCCCAGACUCCUACGGGAGGCAGCAGUGGGGGAUAUUGCACAAUGGGGGAAACCCUGAUGCAGCAAUGCCGCGUGAGGGAAGACGGUCUUCGGAUUGUAAACCUAAGUAGUCAGGGAUGAAGAAAGUGACAUUACCUGAAGAGUAAGCUCCGGCUAACUACGUGCCAGCAGCCGCGGUAAUACGUAGGGAGCGAGCGUUGUCCGGAUUUACUGGGUGUAAAGGGUGCGUAGGCGGGCUUGCAAGUCAGGCGUGAAAUACCGGGGCUUAACUCCGGGGCUGCGCUUGAAACUGUAAGUCUUGAGUGAAGUAGAGGCAGGCGGAAUUCCCAGUGUAGCGGUGAAAUGCGUAGAUAUUGGGAGGAACACCAGUGGCGAAGGCGGCCUGCUGGGCUUUAACUGACGCUGAGGCACGAAAGUAUGGGGAGCAAACAGGAUUAGAUACCCUGGUAGUCCAUACUGUAAACGAUGAUUGCUAGGUGGGGGGGGGGUCUGACCCCCCUCCGUGCCG